rnacentral:rRNA from 1 species
ACGUACACUCCUACGGGAGGCAGCAGUGGGGAAUAUUGGACAAUGGGCGCAAGCCUGAUCCAGCCAUGCCGCGUGAGUGAUGAAGGCCCUAGGGUUGUAAAGCUCUUUCACCGGUGAAGAUAAUGACGGUAACCGGAGAAGAAGCCCCGGCUAACUUCGUGCCAGCAGCCGCGGUAAUACGAAGGGGGCUAGCGUUGUUCGGAUUUACUGGGCGUAAAGCGCACGUAGGCGGACUAUUAAGUCAGGGGUGAAAUCCCGGGGCUCAACCCCGGAACUGCCUUUGAUACUGGUAGUCUUGAGUUCGAGAGAGGUGAGUGGAAUUCCGAGUGCAGAGGUGAAAUUCGUAGAUAUUCGGAGGAACACCAGUGGCGAAGGCGGCUCACUGGCUCGAUACUGACGCUGAGGUGCGAAAGCGUGGGGAGCAAACAGGAUUAGAAACCCUUGUAGUCCCAUGA